GUCUGGAUGGCGCAGUGGUCUGCCCAUCUGCCUAGUAAGCAGGAGAUCUGGGUUCGAAUCCCAGUACAGGACA